UUAAGCGACUAAGCGUACACGGUGGAUGCCCUGGCAGUCAGAGGCGAUGAAGGACGUGCUAAUCUGCGAUAAGCGUCGGUAAGGUGAUAUGAACCGUUAUAACCGGCGAUUUCCGAAUGGGGAAACCCAGUGUGUUUCGACACACUAUCAUUAACUGAAUCCAUAGGUUAAUGAGGCGAACCGGGGGAACUGAAACAUCUAAGUACCCCGAGGAAAAGAAAUCAACCGAGAUUCCCCCAGUAGCGGCGAGCGAACGGGGAGGAGCCCAGAGCCUGAAUCAGUGUGUGUGUUAGUGGAAGCGUCUGGAAAGGCGCGCGAUACAGGGUGACAGCCCCGUACACAAAAAUGCACAUAUUGUGAGCUCGAUGAGUAGGGCGGGACACGUGGUAUCCUGUCUGAAUAUGGGGGGACCAUCCUCCAAGGCUAAAUACUCCUGACUGACCGAUAGUGAACCAGUACCGUGAGGGAAAGGCGAAAAGAACCCCGGCGAGGGGAGUGAAAAAGAACCUGAAACCGUGUACGUACAAGCAGUGGGAGCCUCUUUUAUGGGGUGACUGCGUACCUUUUGUAUAAUGGGUCAGCGACUUAUAUUCUGUAGCAAGGUUAACCGAAUAGGGGAGCCGAAGGGAAACCGAGUCUUAACUGGGCGUUAAGUUGCAGGGUAUAGACCCGAAACCCGGUGAUCUAGCCAUGGGCAGGUUGAAGGUUGGGUAACACUAACUGGAGGACCGAACCGACUAAUGUUGAAAAAUUAGCGGAUGACUUGUGGCUGGGGGUGAAAGGCCAAUCAAACCGGGAGAUAGCUGGUUCUCCCCGAAAGCUAUUUAGGUAGCGCCUCGUGAACUCAUCUCCGGGGGUAGAGCACUGUUUCGGCAAGGGGGUCAUCCCGACUUACCAACCCGAUGCAAACUGCGAAUACCGGAGAAUGUUAUCACGGGAGACACACGGCGGGUGCUAACGUCCGUCGUGAAGAGGGAAACAACCCAGACCGCCAGCUAAGGUCCCAAAGUCAUGGUUAAGUGGGAAACGAUGUGGGAAGGCCCAGACAGCCAGGAUGUUGGCUUAGAAGCAGCCAUCAUUUAAAGAAAGCGUAAUAGCUCACUGGUCGAGUCGGCCUGCGCGGAAGAUGUAACGGGGCUAAACCAUGCACCGAAGCUGCGGCAGCGACGCUGAUGCGUUGUUGGGUAGGGGAGCGUUCUGUAAGCCUGUGAAGGUGUGCUGUGAGGCAUGCUGGAGGUAUCAGAAGUGCGAAUGCUGACAUAAGUAACGAUAAAGCGGGUGAAAAGCCCGCUCGCCGGAAGACCAAGGGUUCCUGUCCAACGUUAAUCGGGGCAGGGUGAGUCGACCCCUAAGGCGAGGCCGAAAGGCGUAGUCGAUGGGAAACAGGUUAAUAUUCCUGUACUUGGUGUUACUGCGAAGGGGGGACGGAGAAGGCUAUGUUGGCCGGGCGACGGUUGUCCCGGUUUAAGCGUGUAGGCUGGUUUUCCAGGCAAAUCCGGAAAAUCAAGGCUGAGGCGUGAUGACGAGGCACUACGGUGCUGAAGCAACAAAUGCCCUGCUUCCAGGAAAAGCCUCUAAGCAUCAGGUAACAUCAAAUCGUACCCCAAACCGACACAGGUGGUCAGGUAGAGAAUACCAAGGCGCUUGAGAGAACUCGGGUGAAGGAACUAGGCAAAAUGGUGCCGUAACUUCGGGAGAAGGCACGCUGAUAUGUAGGUGAAGUCCCUCGCGGAUGGAGCUGAAAUCAGUCGAAGAUACCAGCUGGCUGCAACUGUUUAUUAAAAACACAGCACUGUGCAAACACGAAAGUGGACGUAUACGGUGUGACGCCUGCCCGGUGCCGGAAGGUUAAUUGAUGGGGUUAGCGCAAGCGAAGCUCUUGAUCGAAGCCCCGGUAAACGGCGGCCGUAACUAUAACGGUCCUAAGGUAGCGAAAUUCCUUGUCGGGUAAGUUCCGACCUGCACGAAUGGCGUAAUGAUGGCCAGGCUGUCUCCACCCGAGACUCAGUGAAAUUGAACUCGCUGUGAAGAUGCAGUGUACCCGCGGCAAGACGGAAAGACCCCGUGAACCUUUACUAUAGCUUGACACUGAACAUUGAGCCUUGAUGUGUAGGAUAGGUGGGAGGCUUUGAAGUGUGGACGCCAGUCUGCAUGGAGCCGACCUUGAAAUACCACCCUUUAAUGUUUGAUGUUCUAACGUUGACCCGUGAUCCGGGUUGCGGACAGUGUCUGGUGGGUAGUUUGACUGGGGCGGUCUCCUCCUAAAGAGUAACGGAGGAGCACGAAGGUUGGCUAAUCCUGGUCGGACAUCAGGAGGUUAGUGCAAUGGCAUAAGCCAGCUUGACUGCGAGCGUGACGGCGCGAGCAGGUGCGAAAGCAGGUCAUAGUGAUCCGGUGGUUCUGAAUGGAAGGGCCAUCGCUCAACGGAUAAAAGGUACUCCGGGGAUAACAGGCUGAUACCGCCCAAGAGUUCAUAUCGACGGCGGUGUUUGGCACCUCGAUGUCGGCUCAUCACAUCCUGGGGCUGAAGUAGGUCCCAAGGGUAUGGCUGUUCGCCAUUUAAAGUGGUACGCGAGCUGGGUUUAGAACGUCGUGAGACAGUUCGGUCCCUAUCUGCCGUGGGCGCUGGAGAACUGAGGGGGGCUGCUCCUAGUACGAGAGGACCGGAGUGGACGCAUCACUGGUGUUCGGGUUGUCAUGCCAAUGGCACUGCCCGGUAGCUAAAUGCGGAAGAGAUAAGUGCUGAAAGCAUCUAAGCACGAAACUUGCCCCGAGAUGAGUUCUCCCUGACUCCUUGAGAGUCCUGAAGGAACGUUGAAGACGACGACGUUGAUAGGCCGGGUGUGUAAGCGCAGCGAUGCGUUGAGCUAACCGGUACUAAUGAACCGUGAGGCUUAACCUU
rnacentral:rRNA from 1 species